rnacentral:rRNA from 1 species
CAGUCGCCGCGGUAAUACGUAGGGUGCGAGCGUUAAUCGGAAUUACUGGGCGUAAAGCGUGCGCAGGCGGUUUGUUAAGACAGAUGUGAAAUCCCCGGGCUCAACCUGGGAACUGCAUUUGUGACUGGCAAGCUAGAGUAUGGCAGAGGGGGGUGGAAUUCCGCGUGUAGCAGUGAAAUGCGUAGAUAUGCGGAGGAACACCGAUGGCGAAGGCAGCCCCCUGGGCCAAUACUGACGCUCAUGCACGAAAGCGUGGGGAGCAAACAGGAUUAGAUACCCCUGUAGUCCCUGUCUCUUAUAC